CCUUUGAUCCACCAUAACUCCUCCGUCUGGGCUCCGAUCGCCUCACCAUUCGCGGCCACGCACUCAGUGCGUCGAGCUCUACCUUUCUAUCCGAACAAUUUCACUGGUUCAAGUUAGCUUCCGGGACUUGUGGGCUCAAGCUAUUGAGCAUAUGGGUAUGGUGUAGGUUAAGUGGGUGUUUAUACAUUGGAAUUGAAUUGGGAUUACUUGGAGGUUUGUUGGUGACCAAGGCUUGUUUUGGGGCUGUUUGAUUGAGCUUGGAGGGGCUGUAAUUUUGAUUUGUGAGGCUGCCUUGGGUGAACUAAGUGAUCGGCCAAGAUGCAGGUCAAGAGGCUCCUUGCUAGGCGUCUGGAUCCUGGAAAGCGGAGUAGUCCUUGGGUGUAUUUUGGUUUCGGUUUGUAUAUAUGUAUAUAUAUG